rnacentral:rRNA from 1 species
AGAGUUUGAUCCUGGCUCAGGAUGAACGCUAGCGACAGGCUUAACACAUGCAAGUCGAGGGGCAGCAUGAUUUGUAGCAAUUACAGAUUGAUGGCGACCGGCGCACGGGUGAGUAACGCGUAUGCAACUUACCUAUCAGAGGGGGAUAGCCCGGCGAAAGUCGGAUUAAUACCCCAUAAAACAGGGGUCCCGCAUGGGAAUAUUUGUUAAAGAUUCAUCGCUGAUAGAUAGGCAUGCGUUCCAUUAGGCAGUUGGCGGGGUAACGGCCCACCAAACCGACGAUGGAUAGGGGUUCUGAGAGGAAGGUCCCCCACCAUUGGUACUGAGACACGGACCAAACUCCUACGGGAGGCUGCA